rnacentral:misc_RNA from 1 species
GUGAUGUGCGAUUUUGAAGAAACAAAUAUUUUUUGUAAAGAAUGACUGUUCACAUUUUACUGAUAUUGGUGUUGUUGUACAAUGUGCAAAAAAUUGUAAAUAGCUGUACACAAUAUACUCAGAAUGGAGCUUGUUGCGUUUUUCCUUUUUUUUAUGAAGGGCAGACAAUUUCUGAAUGUAUACCAGAUUUUAAUGGCUCAUUGUGGUGUGCAACAACUUUUAAUUAUGAUGACGACCUUCAGUGGGACUAUUGUUUAGCAAACUCUUUAUCAAGUUGGUCAGACUGGAGCAACUGGUCAGAAUGUUCUAGUUCUUGUGGUACUGGAAUUACAAAAAGAACAAGGAUGUGCCUUGAUUCGACUAAUUCCUGUGUAGAAAGCAGUUCUGAUGUAGCUGAAUGUUACAGCAACCAAACAUGUACAGCAAACUCUUUAUCAAGUUGGUCAGACUGGAGUAACUGGUCAGAAUGUUCUAGCUCUUGUGGUACUGGAAUUACAAAAAGAACAAGAAUGUGUCUUGAUUCAACUAAUUCCUGUGUAGAAAGCAGUACUGAUGAAGCUGAAUGUUACAGCAACCAAACAUGUACAGACCCAAUGUCAAGUUGGUCAGAUUGGGGCAGCUGGUCUUAUUGUUCUGUUACUUGUGGUAGUGGAACUAUGAAAAGAACAAGGAUUUGUUUUGGUACAAAUGGUUUAUGUGUUGGAAACACUUCUGAUAUAAUUGAUUGUUCUAGUAAUCAAGCAUGUACAGCAAACUCUUUAUCAAGUUGGUCAGACUGGAGCAACUGGUCAGAAUGUUCAAGUUCUUGUGGUACUGGAAUUACAAAAAGAACAAGAAUAUGCCUUGAUUCAACUAAUUUCUGUGUAGAAAGCAGUACUGAUGAAGCUGAAUGUUACAGCAGCCAAACAUGUACAGCAGACCCAAUGUCAAGUUGGUCAGAUUGGGGCAGCUGGUCUUAUUGUUCUGUUACUUGUGGUAGUGGAAUUAUGAAAAGAACAAGGAUUUGUUUUGGUACAAAUGGUUUAUGUGUCGGAAACACUUCUGAUAUAAUUGAUUGUUCUAGUAAUCAAGCAUGUACAGCAAACUCUUCAUCAAGCUGGUCAGACUGGAGCAACUGGUCAGAAUGUUCGAGUUCUUGUGGUACUGGAAUUACAAAAAGAACAAGAAUUUGCCUUGAUUCAACUAAAUCGUGUGUAGAAAGCAGUACUGAUGAAGCUGAAUGUUACAGCAACCAAACAUGUACAGCAAACUCUUUAUCAAGUUGGUCAGAUUGGAGCAACUGGUCAGAAUGUUCGAGUUCUUGUGGUACUGGAAUUACAAAAAGAACAAGAAUUUGCCUUGAUUCAACUAAAUCGUGUGUAGAAAGCAGUACUGAUGAAGCUGAAUGUUACAGCAACCAAACAUGUACAGCAAACUCUUCAUCAAGCUGGUCAGACUGGAGUAACUGGUCAGAAUGUACUAGUUCUUGUGGUACUGGAAUUACAAAAAGAACAAGGGUGUGCCUUGAUUCAACUAAAUCGUGUGUAGAAAGCAGUACUGAUGAAGCUGAAUGUUACAGCAACCAAACAUGUACAGCAAACUCUUUAUCAAGUUGGUCAGACUGGAGCAACUGGUCAGAAUGUUCGAGUUCUUGUGGUACUGGAAUUACAAAAAGAACAAGAAUUUGCCUUGAUUCAACUAAAUCGUGUGUAGAAAGCAGUACUGAUGAAGCUGAAUGUUACAGCAACCAAACAUGUACAGCAAACUCUUUAUCAAGUUGGUCAGACUGGAGUAACUGGUCAGAAUGUACUAGUUCUUGUGGUACUGGAAUUACAAAAAGAACAAGGGUGUGCCUUGAUUCAACUAAAUCGUGUGUAGAAAGCAGUACUGAUGAAGCUGAAUGUUACAGCAACCAAACAUGUACAGCAAACUCUUUAUCAAGUUGGUCAGACUGGAGUAACUGGUCAGAAUGUACUAGUUCUUGUGGUACUGGAAUUACAAAAAGAACAAGGGUGUGCCUUGAUUCAACUAAAUCAUGUGUAGAAAGCAGUACUGAUGAAGCUGAAUGUUACAGCAACCAAACAUGUACAGCAAACUCUUUAUCAAGUUGGUCAGACUGGAGCAACUGGUCAGAAUGUUCGAGUUCUUGUGGUACUGGAAUUACAAAAAGAACAAGAAUUUGCCUUGAUUCAACUAAAUCGUGUGUAGAAAGCAGUACUGAUGAAGCUGAAUGUUACAGCAACCAAACAUGUACAGCAAACUCUUUAUCAAGUUGGUCAGACUGGAGUAACUGGUCAGAAUGUACUAGUUCUUGUGGUACUGGAAUUACAAAAAGAACAAGGGUGUGCCUUGAUUCAACUAAUUUGUGUGUAGAAAGCAGUACUGAUGAAGCUAAAUGUUACAGCAACCAGACAUGUACAGCAAGCUCUUUACCAAAUUGGUCAGACUGGAGCAGCUGGUCAGAAUGUACUAGUUCUUGUGGUACUGGAAUUACAAAAAGAACAAGGGUGUGCCUUGAUUCAACUAAUUUGUGUGUAGAAAACAGUACUGAUGAAGCUGAAUGUUACAGCAACCAAACAUGUACAGCAAUUUCUAUGUCAAGUUGGUCAGAUUGGGGCAACUGGUCUAAUUGUACUGUUACUUGUGGUGUUGGAGUUAUGAAUAGAACAAGAAUGUGUCUUGGUUCAAUUGAUUUAUGUGAAGGAAACACUACUGAUAUAACUGAUUGUUCCAGUAAUCAAACAUGUACAGCAAACACUUUAUCAAAUUGGUCAGAUUGGAGCAGUUGGUCAAAUUGUAGUGUCUCCUGUGGUGAUGGAACUAAGAAUAGAACAAGGAUGUGUCUUGAUCCAGUUAAAUCAUGUUUAGGGAACACUACUGAUAUAACUGAUUGUUAUAGCAAUUUAACUUGUGCAGCAAUUUCUAUGUCAAGUUGGUCAGAUUGGGGCAACUGGUCUAAUUGUACUGUUACUUGUGGUGUUGGAGUUAUGAAUAGAACAAGAAUGUGUCUUGGUUCAAUUGAUUUAUGUGAAGGAAACACUACUGAUAUAACUGAUUGUUCCAGUAAUCAAACAUGUACAGCAAACACUUUAUCAAAUUGGUCAGAUUGGAGCAGUUGGUCAAAUUGUAGUGUCUCCUGUGGUGAUGGAACUAAGAAUAGAACAAGGAUGUGUCUUGAUCCAGUUAAAUCAUGUUUAGGGAACACUACUGAUAUAACUGAUUGUUAUAGCAAUUUAACUUGUGCAGCAAUUUCUAUGUCAAGUUGGUCAGAUUGGGGCAACUGGUCUAAUUGUACUGUUACUUGUGGUGUUGGAGUUAUGAAUAGAACAAGAAUGUGUCUUGGUUCAAUUGAUUUAUGUGAAGGAAACACUACUGAUAUAACUGAUUGUUCCAGUAAUCAAACAUGUACAGCAAACACUUUAUCAAAUUGGUCAGAUUGGAGCAGUUGGUCAAAUUGUAGUGUCUCCUGUGGUGAUGGAACUAAGAAUAGAACAAGGAUGUGUCUUGAUCCAGUUAAAUCAUGUUUAGGGAACACUACUGAUAUAACUGAUUGUUAUAGCAAUUUAACUUGUGCAGCAAUUUCUAUGUCAAGUUGGUCAGAUUGGGGCAACUGGUCUAAUUGUACUGUUACUUGUGGUGUUGGAGUUAUGAAUAGAACAAGAAUGUGUCUUGGUUCAAUUGAUUUAUGUGAAGGAAACACUACUGAUAUAACUGAUUGUUCCAGUAAUCAAACAUGUACAGCAAACACUUUAUCAAAUUGGUCAGAUUGGAGCAGUUGGUCAAAUUGUAGUGUCUCCUGUGGUGAUGGAACUAAGAAUAGAACAAGGAUGUGUCUUGAUCCAGUUAAAUCAUGUUUAGGGAACACUACUGAUAUAACUGAUUGUUAUAGCAAUUUAACUUGUGCAGCAAUUUCUAUGUCAAGUUGGUCAGAUUGGGGCAACUGGUCUAAUUGUACUGUUACUUGUGGUGUUGGAGUUAUGAAUAGAACAAGAAUGUGUCUUGGUUCAAUUGAUUUAUGUGAAGGAAACACUACUGAUAUAACUGAUUGUUCCAGUAAUCAAACAUGUACAGCAAACACUUUAUCAAAUUGGUCAGAUUGGAGCAGUUGGUCAAAUUGUAGUGUCUCCUGUGGUGAUGGAACUAAGAAUAGAACAAGGAUGUGUCUUGAUCCAGUUAAAUCAUGUUUAGGGAACACUACUGAUAUAACUGAUUGUUAUAGCAAUUUAACUUGUGCAGCAAACUCUAUGUCAAGUUGGUCAGAUUGGGGCAACUGGUCUAAUUGUACUGUUACUUGUGGUGUUGGAGUUAUGAAUAGAACAAGAAUGUGCCUUGGUACAAUUGAUUUAUGUGAAGGAAACACUACUGAUAUAACUGAUUGUUCCAGUAAUCAAACAUGUAUAGCCAACCCUAUAUCAAAUUGGUCAGAUUGGAGCAGUUGGUCUAAUUGUACUGUUUCUUGUGGUGGCGGAACUAAGAAUAGAACAAGGAUGUGUCUUGUUACAAUAGAAUCAUGCAUUGGAAACAAUACUGAUGUAUCUGACUGUUACAGUAAUCAAACUUGUAAAAUUCAAUGUGAAAUAAUCUCACAAAUCGAAAAGUACUUGAGUGUUCCAGAGAAUGUUUUUAAAGAUACCAAUUUCGAUUUUGUCUUUGUUUUGCAGAAGUAUGAUUUGCACUGUCUAGAUAAUUCUGUAAUCAAUCUUGAUGACUCAUUAUUCAGCAGUGAUAUAUCAGAUCUUUCAUGGGAGUUUGAUUUGUACUUUGGAGAUGGAAAACCACUUUUAAGCAAGCAAAAAGUUAACUCUAACAGUUCACUAGAUUUUCUGUUUACUUAUAAUUAUGGUGAAUGUGGAAAAUACACAAUAGAAUAUAUUAUCAAACCUUUUAGUGGCAUGUAUUCAUUUUUAAAUGCUGAGAUAUUUGAUUAUGUCAACAUAACUGUGUUUUGCAAAAUGUCAUCAGUUAAAUUGGUAAGUAAUUCAACCUCAGAAACAUACCCUAAAGUGCCAUUGGAAAAAGAAUUAACUUUUUUAAUAAGUCAAGAUUUAGGUUCAUUUAUUAUAUACACAGUAGAUUGGGGAGAUAAUGUAGUCCAAUUAAUUGAUCAAUCACAGAAGAAAAGUCCUUUACCAUUUGUUCUCUCACAUACAUAUAAAAAUGCUGCAAAUUAUACUGUUAAUGUAAUUGCAAAAAAUGCAUUGCAAGUAACAAGUAGUAAAAUUAUUGUUCAAGUUCUAGAUUGCUCUUUUCCAAAAAUUACUUUUCAAUAUGGAACUCUACAAAAUCCUUUAAAAAUUUUUAAUGCUGUUAAAGAAUUUGUAGCAUAUGUAGAUGUAGAUGACAAUGAUUGUUUACUUGAAAAUAUUAGUAUUUAUUGGAUAUUAACAGGAAGUAACAUGACAAAUAAGUCUCAGGGAGUUUUAAAAAACAGUAAAAUAGUAUACUCUUUAAAAGGGAAUUUGGAUUAUGGGUCUUAUAUUAUCUCUUUGUAUUUUUCAUUCAAUAUGUUUACUAAUACAUAUAUAUCUUAUUUCAUGGUUGUUGAUUUACCGUUGUAUAUUGAGAUUGACAAUGGUGAAUUUCGUACUGUUGCUUACAAACAGACACAAAAUGGUAAUAUCUCUUUUCAAAAUUUAAAAAUAACUGCACUUGUAAGCUCUGAUGGGAGUCAACCUAAAAUAAAGUAUCAAGGUUUUGUAUAUGAAUGGAAAUGUCGAAUUGUGAGCAACAUCUCAUUUGCUUUAAAUAGCUUAAUUGCAAAUAAGAUGGUUAAUUCAAAUUUGGAAUCCAAUACUUGCUUUAAUGAAUCAUGGAUGGAUAUAACAGUUGAUGGUCCAGAGCUUGUAUUUAAUACCCAUAUGUUUUUAGAAGGAAUAAGAUAUCAGUUCCAAGUGAUUGGUACCAAUCUUGUUAAAAAUUCACAGAGUAACUCUUUUAUUCAAGAAGUUAUGAUUAGUCCUGGUGAAUUACCAAACGGGACGAUCAAUUGUGUAACCAACUGUGCUGAAAAGUUAAACAUAAAAGAUCAUGUUAUUUUUCAGUUUGCAUGCUUAAAUUGUGAUGAAACCCAAUUGUCUUAUAUUUGGGAAGUCUUGAAUGAUGAUGGUGAAUGGCCUGAAGAGUUAUUGCAAGAAAAUUCAACAACAACUGGCUUUAAAAACUCUUAUCUUGUAAUAAAUGUUGAAACAUUAUUGGCUUCAAAAAGUUACACUUUUACAUUAAAAGUUGGAUAUAUUGGAUCAUUUUAUAAAGCUUUGUUUAAUGUAAAAAAACAAACAUCAUCCUUGCCUAGUUCAGGAAGUUGCUUUAUUAGCCCACAACAAGGAUACGCUUUUAUUACAAAGUUUAAACUUAUUUGCCAAGAUUGGAAAGAUAAUGAAAAUAGUGUGUUAACAUAUAAAUACUUUUAUGACAAUGGUGCAGCAGAGGGUUAUACAAUGACAACGAAUGAACAUGUGGGUUACCCAUUAUUGAAUGCCAAAUCUCUUGAGGAUCCAAUUCUCAUAAAUUUUGUAUUGGGACCUGGUAACAUAAAUAAAAACUUUUCAGUUACUAUUAUUAUUAAAAUUGUUGGAAUUUAUAAAGCCUUCAUACAAUAUCCUGACCUAUUUGUUCAGGUUUUACCUUUUGAAAAAAAUAUUUCAACUCUACUUGCUGAUAUUAAAAUUCCAGAUAUUCUUACAUUUUCCAGUGUUCUACAUGCCAUAUCUCAUCUUUUAAAUUAUUAUUCAAAUACUGUCAAAUUGAUGAAUCCUGUAAUCACUAACAACAUCACAGGUUUUACUGAGCCUAAUGAUAAUGUUAUACUUAACAAGCAAAGCAUGCUGGUUCAACUCCAAUAUUUGCGUACUAGUGUAGUUGAUGUGCUUUUAUUGCAACCAAUAAAAAGUUUAAUGGACUUAAAAGAUGUUGGAGAUGUUUUAUCAAUUGUUUUAAGUGUGCCAGAUGAGCUUAAUCUAGAGACUAAGACUAAUGCAGUGGAUAUCAUCACAAAAAUGUCUUCUCUACUGACAGAAGAAAAUAUAAAAAACAUUGGUCCACAUAUUUAUGAUCAAAUUACUCAACCUUUUAUUUUUUCAAUAUCACACUUGUUUAGUGCAAUUGCCAACUCUAAUAGUGCAAUUUUCAACUCUAGUAAUAUUGUAGAGUCUGUAGAAAGUGGUGCUGCAGCUAAAGAUAUCAAUUAUGUAUCUGAACAGGCAAAAAUCAAUUUAGUCACAAAACUGAUUCGAUCUAUGGAAGAAUAUUUUAACGGUUUGCAAUAUUACCUUGCUAACAAUGAAAAUCCCACAAUUGUUGAUACACCUGCAUUUAAGUAUUUUGUAAAAAAAGUUUAUGGGAAUUCUUAUCAAAAUAUUUGGUCAAAAGAAUUCGAAGUUGACUUCUUAGAAGAAAAUUAUGGUGAACAAAGUGGAUUUAAAAUUCAGAAUUUAACAAGUCUUUUAAAUGAAUCAACUAAAUAUUCCAGUAUUGUCAUUAAUAACCUAAAUUUGAAGAGUCAAACAUUUUCAUGGGAUUUAGAACGUUCUAACAACAUUGUUUCUGAAAAUCAAAUUUUAUACUUGAGCACAACGAGCAGAAAAAAAAUUGAAGUUAAAAAUUUGACAUCCACAAUUGAUAUUUCAAUAAAAAAUAUUCCAGAGAAAAUGAUUGGUCAAAACAUAUCCUUACCAAUGCCAAACAAUGUUCAAAUGAACUUCAUUAAUAUAUCAUCUGCUGAAUGCAAACUAAUGAUGAAGUUUGCCGCAUUAAAUGAUCCACAAAACAAGACUAACCUAAUUGUUUACAUUCAAUAUGGAAAAGUUCCAACUAUAGAUGAUUAUGAUAUUAAAUUAAACAUUUCAAAUAGAGAUGGUACUGAUCUUAUUAUUGGAAACAAUACACCACAUUCCAAUUCGUCUGUAAAUAUCCAACGAAGUCAAAAACGUAGACUGUUAAAAGAUGGAUCAAUUAUAUUAUGGGAUUUUCAUAACUCCACAUAUUCUUUUUUAAACAAAAAAUAUCUGUAUUUAUCUUAUUUUUAUGUUGGACCAAUGCCUGAAAAGAUAUUGGAGUCAAAUCUGUAUACAUUUGAUGGGAAAGAAUUUUAUGGAACAUUUCUUUAUGAGAUGAAAUCUUUUUGUGUUGAAUGCAACUAUUGGAAUGAAAGUAAUAACAAGUGGAUGUCAGAUGGAUGUGAGAUUGACUUAUUAACAACAACAUUUUAUGUUACAAAGUGCAAAUGCAAUCAUUUGACUGCCUUUGGAGGUUUUUAUGUUGCACCAAACAUAUUGCCUACACCUAGUUUAAGUUUGCUUAAAGUAGGCUACACUUUACUUGUAGUAGUUAUAACGGUGAUUGGUUUUUGGAUUGCAGCUUUGGUAUUUGCAAGAAGAGCUGAUAUAAAUGAUGUAAAAAAGGUUGGUGUUUGUCCACUUAUUGACAACUUUGAAGAAGAUUGUUAUCUUUAUGAAAUAACUGUGAUUACUGGUAGUCGAAUAAAUGCUGGUACCAAGUCAAAUAUUUUUUUCAAAGUUGCAGGAGAAUUUGGUGACUCUGGAAAUCGACACUUAAAUGAUUCUCAGAGAGUAUGUUUUCAAAGAUCCAGUGUAGAUGUUUUUAUAAUGGCUACAACUAAAUGUCUAGGUGAACUAAAUUAUAUACAACUUUGGCAUGAUAAUUCUGGAGGUGGAUGGUAUUUGAGUUAUAUGUUGGUAUAGUUUGCACAUUUAUUACUCUACCCAUAAACAUUUUGCUGACUCAAUUAUUUCGGCUGGUUCAACCUGUUUAUCAGCAGAACAUGAUUUGUGGUCAAUCUAAAUACAAUGAUUUAAAAUUUGAAAGCAUUGAGGAUGGAUUUCAAAAAAAGGCACAAGUUAAAAAACUUUUUUAUUUUCCUCAUUGGUUUUUAUACAUUUCUUGGUUUAUAUGCAUUGCAACAAUUUUAGGAUUAGGAUAUGUUAUUUUAUUGUAUGGAAUGUCAUUUGGUAAUAAAAAAUCAUUGGAUUGGUUAGCCAGUAUUUCUUUAGGAUUG